GGUGCCACCUGGGAAACCCAAUAACAGAGACUGUUGAAAUUAUUUACUCUGGCCAGGUGUGCUAACCCUAAAAAUUACAGUGAUGUUUUCUGUGCUUAGAUGAGGGUUAAAAAUAGCAUUGCAAAGAGUAGUGCUUUCUCCAUCUUUAGUGUGUAUCAGAACCACCUGGAAGACUUGUUAGAUUUCUGGGCCCAACCCCAAGCAUUUUUAAUUCAGUAGGUCUGAGGUGCAGAUCUGCAUUUCUAACAAGUUCCCAGGUCUGCUGCUGGUGCUGGUCUGUGCGUGCCCGCUCAGUCACGUCGGACUCUUUGUGGCCCUAUGGACUAUAGCCCGCCAGGCUCCUUCCUCUGUCCAAGGAAUUCUCCAGGCAAGAAUGCUGGAGUGGGUUGCGGUUUACUACUCCAGGGAAUCUUCCCAACCCACCCGAGUCUCUUGCAUCUCCUGCAUUGGCAGGAGGGUCUUUUACUAGUGCCACCUGGGAAGCCCUGCUGCUGGUCUAUGGUUAUCAUUUUGAGAGUCAUUGGUGUAAAGUAUAGAUCCUUAUACAGAGAGACCUGUAACCGGACCACAGGUCUGAGGACUGGGACUUCCUUCCUGAUUUGGCUCUUCUGGAAAUACAGCACUGUGUGGAAGAGACAAAGACUCUGGUCAUCUACUUUAGAGUGAGGGCUGCAGUCAAUACGACAUAAAGGACAGUUACCAAGAUCAAAGUACAGUCUCUGGCUGAGGGUAAAAAGCAAUGCAGAGAAAGGGAGAGAGAAAGAACAAAGGGGAGUUCGCUGGAUAUUGACUACAUGCUACGAAGGAUCAGCAAUGUGGGAAAUGGAUGUGAAGAAAUGGAAAAGAGAGCAGGACUUUCAAUAGAAGCAUUAUCUCUUCUGUGGCAUCAGUGACAGCAUGGAAGAGCUCCAUACCUGAUUCUCUCCAAUGGAAGGCUUAAUGCAUCUGAUGCUGCUGAGCUUAAGACACUGCUUUGCCCACACCCGUGUUGCUAGCAUGCACUGUGGGGACAGGAGGAUGCCAAUCAUUGGCAAGCCAUGCAGGGAGUUUGUGAUUCCAGAAUGGCUUAAGCUACCAGAAACAGGGGCUGGGGCAGCCUCUUUAGAGUAAGAACACAGCUCAGGUACACAGAAGGCCACCAGGAUGUCUUGGCAUAAUGAGAGAGCUUGAGACCAUUUUUCUUCUCUGCCAUCAUCGGUGCCAAUGGAAGUGGACAGCUCACUUUGGAGACCCAUGCACUGGAGACCCAGUCUGAGUUCUAUGCCUGAGCUGCCUCUGCUGCUGACUUUGAACAUUUGCAUCAGCGUCUACAGCUAAAACCAGAUCCCUUGUACCUCUCCCUGGAAACUGAACUUGAUCCUGGGUGGUGUUGCUCCUUCCAAACUCCAUGUCUGGCUCCUGGGUGAAUAGAAGAACAAUGGAGAGUGAAAAUCCCACCUAUUACUAAAGGCUGAUCUUAUCAUUGACCCUACCCUUCCCUUUCCCCGUGCUGUCCUUAGGCCUAGUGGGACAACAAGAAGAGGCAAGUCUCACUGGUGGAAUUCCAGGCUGUCCUCUGGUUUUUACACUUUUCAUCAUGGUUGGAAUUUUGUAUCUUACCCUUAGGAGCUCUGGCUUCAUCCUCUCUCUCCAUUUCUAUCUCUUUUAAAUAUCUAUAUCCACAGAAAAAGAUUUGAUAAACUCAGUAACUCUAAGGUAAAUUGCCAAUAUGUUUUGAACUGUGACUGCCCCCUUUCUGAUAUGCUUGUAAUAGGCUUGAAGACAAGGCAGGCAGGGGGUGUUUAAUUUCAGAAAUUUCACAGGUGUUUGUUUAGUGAUUCUAAAACUACUCACCACAAAUCACUGCUCUUAUAAAAGACUUCCCCAGUUGUCAUCCAUAUAGUUUAAAGAUUUUUUUUCAUCAAAAUAAACUUAUUAAGUUGCUUUCCCCAUUAAUGAUCUUAUGGGUUGAUAUAAUUUUAAUCAAAACAGAAACUGAGGUUAGGCUAUAUAGUUUUAGGUUGACCUGGUUAAUUUGUAAGGACCAAUAUGGUUGGAUGAGAGAAAAUGCCACUAAGUAUUACAGAAAAGAAAUGUCUCAAUGGAAGAUGUUUCCCUUGUAACCUAUAUUUUAUCAAUCAUCAAAUCUGUAAGCUCUACUUCUAAAAUAUAUGCUGCAUCUCAUUACUCUUUACCAGACCCAUAUUUCAGAUACAAGCUGAAGACAACAUAACUUCUCACCUGGACUAAUACAUAAGUCUACUUAAUUAUUCCCUCUGCUUCCACAUUUGUAUCCUUUGUGCACUUAGCUCCAUUUCUUCAUUCAGCGACUAGGGCAAUCGACUCAAAGGGUAAUUCAGAUCACAUCACUCCUUGCUUAAAAUCCUCAACGGCUUCUCAGUUCAAUUAAGAUGGAAUCUAAAGUCCUUUCUAAGACCCAGGAAGCUCUAAGGGAUCUGCCCCAAAUUUCCUUGCUGAUCACACCUUUUUCUGUCCCCUCUCCCCAUCCUAGGGAUUUUGGCAACAAUGGUUUAGCUUUCUUGUGUUUAAAUAGGAAACAUUUGUCCCUAGCUCAAGGCCUUUGUUCCAACCAUCUGCCCCUGCCUAGAUUAACCUUCUCUCAGAUCGUCAUGUGACCUUCCCCUUCUUAGGACUUAUGUUUCAGCUCAUUGUCCCCUUCUCAGACCAAUUUCCUCAGACUCAAAUUUGCCCUCAUCUCCUGCCCAGUCUAUUUCAUCAUACACUUUAUUCUUCAGAGCAUAGUCCCUGCCUGGAGUCAUCUUGUUGAUCUGUUGAUGUGUUUAUUUUUGUCUUCUCUCACUGGACCAUGUGCUUCAGAAGAGCGGGAAACUGGGCUUUCUUGGUUACUGCUGCAAUCCCAGAGCCUGAAAUAUUAUGUGCCACUUAGUCAGUGCUCAAUAAAUGUUUGUUGAAUUCAAAGAAAAGUACCAGAGGCACAAUCAGCUUCAUUGGCCCAGCCACGAAAUAUUAAGUCAUCAGAUAUCAUUUAUAAACAGUGAGCAAGACACAGAGCAGUGUCUGAAAGCUAGAUGUUUUUAUAAAAUGAUUACUCCAAAUGAAAUAAGGGGGAUUUAUUUCGAACAGUCUGAGAGUGAAUGGGCUUAAAUCAUGUCUGGUUGGAUUGGGUUGGUCAACAAGUAGCAAAAUAAACAUCAGUCAGAUUUGAGGUUUUAGUAUGUUGUGCUUGCUUUUAUUAAAACAGCAGUAUUUUUAAAUGACCUGAAGCUCACACUUCUAUUGCAGUGACUAGUCAGCUUGAAAAAUGUGUUUCUUCAGGGUGGGAGGAGAAUUUUAAGUUCAUAAUUCAUUUGCUGUGAAGUUCAUUUGUUAAAGCUAGCCCUAUUCUCUUGCAUUAUUUCCUUCUGGGACAUUUUGCCUUUUCUCUCUCUUUUUAUCAUACUUUACGCAUGUAUGAACAUACAUAUAAAUAAGAAAUUAUAAAACACAGUUUAUGUUAGUAGAAAAAGCAUUUUGAAUAUUUGUAUGUGUAGAGUGGAGCAUGCUUUCUUAUGUUUCAUUAUAAUUGGGCUUGUAAUGUUAAAAUGUGGAGUGAAUAUGAACACAAAGAGCACAUACUUUUUUCUCUCCCUAUUUAUGGCUCCAAACAAGAAUUCUAUCAAGUUUAUGUUUGGAAAUGUGGCUAAAUCAGAUCAGGGAAUAAAGCUCACAUGGAUCUCUGAA